rnacentral:rRNA from 1 species
GCCGCCUAUAAAACAAACGACCCUAAGAGGUUUGAGAUUCUGCUCAGGACGAACGCUGGCGGCGUGCUAAUACAUGCAAGUGGCGGACAGAUGGGAGCUUGCUCCCUGAUGUUAGCGGCGGACGGGUGAGUAACACGUGGGUAACCUGCCUGUAAGACUGGGAUAACUCCGGGAAACCGGGGCUAAUACCGGAUGGUUGUUUGAACCGCAUGGUUCAAACAUAAAAGGUGGCUUCGGCUACCACUUACAGAUGGACCCGCGGCGCAUUAGCUAGUUGGUGAGGUAAUGGCUCACCAAGGCAACGAUGCGUAGCCGACCUGAGAGGGUGAUCGGCCACACUGGGACUGAGACACGGCCCAGACUCCUACGGGAGGCAGCAGUAGGGAAUCUUCCGCAAUGGACGAAAGUCUGACGGAGCAACGCCGCGUGAGUGAUGAAGGUUUUCGGAUCGUAAAGCUCUGUUGUUAGGGAAGAACAAGUACCGUUCGAAUAGGGCGGUACCUUGACGGUACCUAACCAGAAAGCCACGGCUAACUACGUGCCAGCAGCCGCGGUAACACGUAGGUGGCAAGCGUUGUCCGGAAUUAUUGGGCGUAAAGGGCUCGCAGGCGGUUUCUUAAGUCUGAUGUGAAAGCCCCCGGCUCAACCGGGGAGGGUCAUUGGAAACUGGGGAACUUGAGUGCAGAAGAGGAGAGUGGAAUUCCACGUGUAGCGGUGAAAUGCGUAGAGAUGUGGAGGAACACCAGUGGCGAAGGCGACUCUCUGGUCUGUAACUGACGCUGAGGAGCGAAAGCGUGGGGAGCGAACAGGAUUAGAUACCCUGGUAGUCCACGCCGUAAACGAUGAGUGCUAAGUGUUAGGGGGUUUCCGCCCCUUAGUGCUGCAGCUAACGCAUUAAGCACUCCGCCUGGGGAGUACGGUCGCAAGACUGAAACUCAAAGGAAUUUGAACGGGGGCCCGCACAAGCGGUGGAGCAUGUGGUUUAAUUCGAAGCAACGCGAAGAACCUUACCAGGUCUUGACAUCCUCUGACAAUCCUAGAGAUAGGACGUCCCCUUCGGGGGC